UACGAAGGGGACUAGCGUUGUUCGGAAUCACUGGGCGUAAAGCGCACGUAGGCGGAUUUGUAAGUCAGGGGUGAAAUCCCGGGGCUCAACCUCGGAACUGCCUUUGAUACUGCGAGUCUUGAGUCCGAUAGAGGUGGGUGGAAUUCCUAGUGUAGAGGUGAAAUUCGUAGAUAUUAGGAAGAACACCAGUGGCGAAGGCGGCCCACUGGAUCGGUACUGACGCUGAGGUGCGGAAAGCGUGGGGAGCAAA
rnacentral:rRNA from 1 species